AUGUCUGCGGACUUACAACACUAGAAACCAGUUUCGAUACCCGUGUUGGACAGAGCACAGAUAGCCCAUUAACUUCAAACAAACAAAGCAAAACGGCGUGGAAACUAUUGAGUUGAUAAUGAACUCGUCCGAAAGUACAAACGUAACUGUUGUUGCAUCAUCAUCGGCUAAGAAAGGAAAGUGCGAAGCGACAUUUUGCAGCAAUGAGAUAGAUCCGAACCAUGGGCUUUUGAAUCCAUAAAACAGCACUGACCAUUUGGCCACACCAUGCCCUUGGUUGAGAUUUACCCUUCCCUAAUGCAAACUGAAAUCCAAUUUGUUCUCCCCCCCCCCAUCUACCAAUACAUUGGCUUCCUUGCUUCCAAUGUAAUUUUUUGUGUGUACAAUAAGAUAAGGCUUCCAACAAAAUCAGUGUCUCAUGUCGGAGACUUCGGGGAAACGCCGAAAGCUUUCUACAGCUUAAUACAGAAAGCAAAGAACGAAGACAGAAGAACAAUUAAGGAAAGCAACUUCAUACAUAGUUAAGUUUCUUCCAAGCAGAUUCAGCUCCUUCAACGUCUGCUGAAAGAGUCCUGCAAGACCAAACAGAAGAUGAGUCUUGUUGUGCAUAUGAUGCUUUAUCAACUUCGGACGCUCACCAACCUGAAACUUCUUCUCCAGAAGACCCAGUAGAGGUUCAUAUAAAAGAGGGAAUAUUUUCUGCACCCAAAGAGGCAGGUUUUUCAACUGAAAAAAUUGGAGCAAACCUCCUGAAGGGGAUUUGUCAACAGAUACUACACCUACCGAUGCUUCUAGAGAAGUUAGUGAUGUGCUUACUAUGAUCGAAUUGUGUGAUCUAGAGAAAUAGCCCAAUACGUUAAGUAAAAAAAUGAGGACAUAUUUGAUUGAAACAGGACCUGUUAAAGAGUUCCGCAAUAUGAUUUAUCCAAAGACGAUUCGGGCAGAAGUUUUUCUGACACAUACUACCACAGGAAGAUGCCAAAUGGAGAGACGAUUCCUAGGGAUUGGAUUGUAUAUUCUGCCUCCAAGAAUUGCGUUUUUUGUUUUCACUGCAAAGUUUUCACAAAAGGUAACUCUCCUUUAGCACAUGAAGGGUUUUCUGACUUGCAGCAUUUAUCUAGACAUUGAAGUGAUCAUGAAAAAAGUCACCACCUAUUUGUAAGUUUAUACAUUUGAAAAGAAGUUUAACCAAAGGGCAGACUUUUGAUGCUCGUAUGGAAAAACCGAUAAACCAAGAAAAGAUGCGUUGGCAGGAGGUUCUCUUGAGAAUAGUGCAAAUUGUAAAAAUUUUUAUCACAACAAAAUUUGGCUUUCAGAGGUAGCAGCGAUAAGCUUUUUUUAAAAAAAAUAAUGGCAAUUUUCUAAAAUUAAUCGAAAUUCUGGCUCAGUUCGAUCCCUUUAUCGCUGAACACGUCCAACAAUUUCAAAGAGACGAAAAAAUAGUCCACAUUACUUGUGGCAGCAAAUCCAAAAUGAGAUAAUUACUUUAUUUAGUGAGAUUAAAUCUGUCAUUGUAAAAAUGGUAGAAGAUAGUAAGUAUUAUUCAUUGAUUUUAGACUGCACACCGGACUCCAGUCAUCAAGAACAGAUAACAGUGGUCAUUAGAUUCGUUAUGUUCAAUUAUGUAAAAAACGAAGUCGAGAUAAAAGAGCAUUUUCUGGGCUUUUGUAAAAUUCUCGAUACAAUGGGUGCUGGCCUGACUACUUUUAUCACUUUUCAUUUAAUGGAAAACAAUUUAAAAAUUGAAAUAUUCGCGGACAGGGUUAUGACAAUGGCGCUAAUAUGAGAGGGAAAAAUAACGGUUUGCAGGCCCAUAUUCUAAACAAAAAUCCUCGAGUAUUUUAUGUUUCAUGCUUUUCUCACACUCUCAAUUUGGUAGUUAAUGAUGCCGCAAACGUAAACUAUCAGAUAGCUGAUUUCUUCUCUGUAAUUCAACAUCUGUUGGGAACAUUUAACCAAUAAUGUGUCUCAGUUUCAAACCCUCGAUGGGAAAGUCGAGUUGAAGCAGUAAAACCUUUACAAUUCUGUUUAUCCGAAGUUUGUGACAGUUUUUCAGAAAUAAUCGAAGACGAAGAAAAUGAACUACCUUCCAAGCAUGAGGCCCAAUGUUUGUUGGAAAAAUUGGAAUCUUUUAAGUUUAUAUGUUCCAUCGUUAUAUGGUAUGAAGUAUAAACGUUGUUUCCAAAAUCAUGCAAAAUUCAAACACAGAUUUAUCAUCAUGCAUUGAACAUUUAGACCGCCUUAAAAAAGUAUCUCAGACUAUCGAAAUAAAUUUGAAGAAAGAAUACAUACUGCGUCUGAAAUUGCCAACUCAUGUAAUGUAGAGCCACAUUUUCCUUCUGAACAGUUUCGCGGGAGAAAAAAAAAGUUUGACUACGAAUACGAAGAUGAUACUAUGAUCGGCCCUAAAGAUAAUUUCCGCAUUAUUAAAAAUAUUAUCAUUGACACGGCUGUUAGAUCAAUCGAAGAAAUAUUUGACUUGCUUCAAAAUCAGUUUUUUUUUUUUUUUUUUUUUUUAUUAUACGAUUUUAGGAAAAUGUCAGAACUGAGUAAAUCGGAGCUUUUGAAACAUUGCAUGGAUCUUGAAAUAAAACUAACCAACGAAACUGAUGAAAACUACCCAAAGGAGAUAAGACCUAAGAACUUGCAGAUGAACUUAGAUUUAUUAUGAGUUUUUUAAAAACAGAAACUUCACCGAAAGAUGUCUUGCCGUACAUUUAUAAGAACAUAUUGACGGGAACAUUUCCAAACAUUACAAUAGCAUUACGGAUUUUAUUAACGCUCCCUGUGACAGUUGCUAGUGGAGAGAGGUCGUUCUAGAAAUUAAAACUAAUAAAAAAUUAUUUGAGAUCAACAAUGGGACAACAAAGACUUACUGAUUUAGCUCUAAUAUCGAUUGAAAUUGAAAUCUGCGAGAAAAUUGAGUUGCAAAAUAUUUUAGCAAAUUUUGCUAAUUUGAAAGCUAGAAAGGUGAAAUUCUGUUAGCUUAUAUGUGGAUGAUAAGAUUACACACUUUUGAUAUUGUAGAAAAUAAAUGUUAUUGCUUUAAAAAAAGUGGAGUAUUUUAAUUAAACCUUUCCAUCGUUUAAAUCGUUGUAUGCACUGCAAAUACCAUGAUGGGGAGUUUUCUCGCCACAAUGACUGCCUGUGCUAGUGAGGCUUUUCUAAGACAGAGAACCAUUGCCAUUGUUCAUAAACAUUGAA